GACGAACGCUGGCGGCGUGCUUAACACAUGCAAGUCGAACGGAAAGGCCCUGCUUUUGUGGGGUGCUCGAGUGGCGAACGGGCGAGUAACACGUGAGUAACCUGCCCUUGACUUUGGGAUAACUUCAGGAAACUGGGGCUAAUACCGGAUAGGAGCUCCUGCUGCAUGGUGGGGGUUGGAAAGUUUCGGCGGUUGGGGAUGGACUCGCGGCUUAUCAGCUUGUUGGUGGGGUAGUGGCUUACCAAGGCUUUGACGGGUAGCCGGCCUGAGAGGGUGACCGGCGACAUUGGGACUGAGAUACGGCCCAGACUCCUACGGGAGGCAGCAGUGGGGAAUAUUGCCCAAUGGGCGGAAGCCUGAUGCAGCAACGCCGCGUGCGGGAUGACGGCCUUCGGGUUGUAAACCGCUUUCGCCUGUGACGAAGCGUGAGUGACGGUAAUGGGUAAAGAAGCACCGGCUAACUACGUG
rnacentral:rRNA from 1 species